rnacentral:rRNA from 1 species
UACGUAGGGGGCAAGCGUUGUCCGGAAUCAUUGGGCGUAAAGCGCGCGUAGGCGGCCCUGUAAGUCCGUUGUGAAAGUCAAAGGCUCAACCUUUGAAAGCCGAUGGAUACUGCAGGGCUAGAGUCCGGAAGAGGCGAGUGGAAUUCCUGGUGUAGCGGUGGAAUGCGCAGAUAUCAGGAGGAACACCAAUAGCGAAGGCAGCUCGCUGGGGCGGUACUGACGCUAAGGCGCGAAAGCGUGGGGAGCGAACAGG